UGCCCUGGCAAACACUCAAGACACAGUGAGA
rnacentral:piRNA from 1 species